AGAUGCUGGGAUUUGGAGAUCACCUUGCAUCUCUCUCCUUUCCCCUGCUGUCUGUUCCUCGCCUGCUCUCCCCCCCACCCCCAACUGACUAUCUCCUCUGGCAUUCAGGUAUCAAGAUGCAGCAGAGUGGAAUGAAUGUUAAUACUUUCAUAGUCGAGGGAAAAAAGAAGAGACAGACCGUGUGUGUGGAGUUACAGGCAUGGGCAUGACACAGUGCCAGCUGAGGCGCCUAAUCUGAGGAAUUUCAACCAGCCAGUCAUGAAGCAAAUAAUAUCCAUUGAAUACAGACAAGUGUCCAGGUACCUGCUCUUUGUUUUCCUUUCUAACACCCCAGAGUGUU
rnacentral:lncRNA from 1 species